AACGAACGCUGGCGGCAUGCUUAACACAUGCAAGUCGAACGAGACCUCCGGGUCUAGUGGCGCACGGGGGCGUAACGCGUGGGAACCUGCCCUUAGGUUCGGAAUAACUCCCCGAAAGGGGUGCUAAUACCGGAUAAUGUCUUCGGACCAAAGAUUUAUCGCCUUUGGCUGGGCCCGCGUUGGAUUAGCUGGUUGGGAGGGUAAAAGCCUACCAAGGCGACGAUCCAUAGCUGGUCUGAGAGGAUGAUCAGCCACACUGGGACUGCGACACGGACCAGACUCCUACGGGAGGCAGCAGUGGGGAAUAUUGGACAAUGGGCGAAAGCCUGAUCCAGCAAUGCCGCGUGAGUGAUGAAGGCCUUAGGGUUGUAAAGCUCUUUUACCCGGGAUGAUAAUGACAGUACCGGGAGAAUAAGCUCCGGCUAACUCCGUG
rnacentral:rRNA from 1 species